rnacentral:tRNA from 2 species
AAAAAUUUAGUUAAUAAAUAACAUUAACUUGUCAAGUUAAAAUAGUCUUCAAGAUAAUUUUUG